GCGUAACGCGUGGGAAUCUGCCCAAAGGUUCGGAAUAACUCGGGGAAACCCGUGCUAAUACCGGAUAAUGUCUUCGGACCAAAGAUUUAUUGCCUUUGGAUGAGCCCGCGUCGGAUUAGCUAGUUGGUGAGGUAAAAGCUCACCAAGGCGACGAUCCGUAGCUGGUCUGAGAGGAUGAUCAGCCACACUGGGACUGAGACACGGCCCAGACUCCUACGGGAGGCAGCAGUGGGGAAUAUUGGACAAUGGGCGAAAGCCUGAUCCAGCAAUGCCGCGUGAGUGAUGAAGGCCUUAGGGUUGUAA
rnacentral:rRNA from 1 species